rnacentral:tRNA from 1 species
GCCCGAGUAGCUCAGGGGAUAGAGCAGCAGUUUCCUAAACUGUUGGUCGCAGGUUCGAUUCCUGUCUCGGGUACCA